rnacentral:misc_RNA from 1 species
UCCGGUUUAUCACCGGCGGUCCCGUCUAGAGUGCUGCCUGUUACAGCGAGCAACUAGAGGCAAGGGUUGCGCUCGUUGCGGGACUUAACCCAACAUCUCACGACACGAGCUGACGACAGCCAUGCAGCACCUCUGCAACUGUCUAUUGCUAGCCUAUUCCAUCUCUGGAAUAUUCAGUUGCAGUUCAAACCCAGGUAAGGUUCUUCGCGUUGCAUCGAAUUGAACCACAUGCUCCACCGCUUGUGCGGGCCCCCGUCAAUUCCUUUGAGUUUCAGACUUGCGACCGUACUCCCCAGGCGGUGCACUUAUCGCGUUAACUUCGGCACAAACCGAAAACCGGCUUACACCAAGUGCACAUUGUUUACGGCUAGGACUAC